UCCUGGCGACCAUAGCUGUUUGGUACCACCUGAUACCUUUCCGAACUCAGUAGUGAAACAAACACGCGCUGAUGAUAGUGUGGGGUCUCCCC
rnacentral:rRNA from 1 species